rnacentral:rRNA from 1 species
GUAGGCGGCAAGCGUUGUCCGGGAAUUAUUGGGGCGUAAAGCGCGCGCAGGCGGUUCUUUAAGUCUGAUGUGAAAGCCCACGGGCUCAACCGUGGAGGGUCAUUGGAAACUGGAGAACUUGAGUACAGAAGAGGAAAGCGGAAUUCCACGUGUAGCGGUGAAAUGCGUAGAGAUGUGGAGGAACACCAGUGGCGAAGGCGGCUUUCUGGUCUGUAACUGACGCUGAGGCGCGAAAGCGUGGGGAGCAAACAGGAUUAGAUACCCUGGUAGUCCACGCCGUAAACGAUGAGUGCUAAGUGUUAGGGGGUUUCCGCCCCUUAGUGCUGCAGCUAACGCAUUAAGCACUCCGCCUGGGGAGUACGGCCGCAAAGGCUGA